AGUGAACGCUGGCGGUAGGCCUAACACAUGCAAGUCGAACGGCAGCACAGUAAGAGCUUGCUCUUACGGGUGGCGAGUGGCGGACGGGUGAGGAAUACAUCGGAAUCUACUUUUUCGUGGGGGAUAACGUAGGGAAACUUACGCUAAUACCGCAUACGACCUACGGGUGAAAGCAGGGGAUCUUCGGACCUUGCGCGAUUGAAUGAGCCGAUGUCGGAUUAGCUAGUUGGCGGGGUAAAGGCCCACCAAGGCGACGAUCCGUAGCUGGCCUGAGAGGAUGGUCAGCCACACUGGAACUGAGACACGGUCCAGACUCCUACGGGAGGCAACAGUGGGGAAUAUUGGACAAUGGGCGCAAGCCUGAUCCAGCCAUACUGCGUGGGUGAAGAAGGCCUUCGGGUUGUAAAGCCCUUUUGUUGGGAAAGAAAAGCAGCAGGUUAAUACCCCGCUGUUCUGACGGUACCCAAAGAAUAAGCACCGGCUAACUUCGUG
rnacentral:rRNA from 1 species